AGUGAACGCUGGCGGUAGGCCUAACACAUGCAAGUCGAACGGCAGCACAGUAAGAGCUUGCUCUUACGGGUGGCGAGUGGCGGACGGGUGAGGAAUACAUCGGAAUCUACUUUUUCGUGGGGGAUAACGUAGGGAAACUUACGCUAAUACCGCAUACGACCUACGGGUGAAAGCAGGGGAUCUUCGGACCUUGCGCGAUUGAAUGAGCCGAUGUCGGAUUAGCUAGUUGGCGGGGUAAGGGCCCACCAAGGCGACGAUCCGUAGCUGGUCUGAGAGGAUGACUAGCCAGCGGGGGACUGCGAAAGGGACCAGACUCCGACGGGCUGCAGCCGUGGGGAAUCGUGGAAAAUGGGCGCAAGGCUGAUCACGCCAUGCCGCGUGAAGGAAGAAGGGCUUCGGGUUGUAAACCGCUGUGGUAAGGAAAGAAAAGGAACUGGUCAAUAACCGGGGCUCAGGACGGUACCGGAAGAAUAAGAACAGGCGAACUACGUG
rnacentral:rRNA from 1 species